UUUAGCUACUGAAAACAACUCAGAAAGGCCUUGUCCUCCCAAAUAGGUCUCGGCAACAAGACAGGGCGUCCUCUAGGCAGCUGUGUCCCAGUGCCUUCUACACUAAGGGCACCUCCCAGGUAAAUUAACUUCACCCCUUCCAAGGACCUCCACAUUGCAAAUCUGAAAGUCUCACGUGUCACGUUGACCUCACAGUUGAUGAAGACCAGACAAUGGAGAAAUAUGCAAGAAACUGGAGAGUCAAAAGGGACAGCAGCAAGUCCAACGGUUGGUGGCAACGUAAAGAAGAAAGAGUUUAUUUUGGCUUAUGGUUACACAGUGCUAAGAGUCCAUCACCAUCACAGCAGGGAGGCACGGCAACCAACAAGCUACUGGAACAGCAGCUAGAAUACUUCAGAAGCUGAGAGCUCACUUCUUCAACCACAAACACAAAGCAGAGAAACCGGAAAUGGCGGAAAUGGCGACCUUUCACCGGCUUGGAAAACAGAAUCUAGAAGAGGCUGGCUUGCUGCUGAUCUGACAGGAGCCUAGCAGGACUGUCCUCUGAGAGGUUCCACCCAGCAGCCGACUGAAACGGAUACCGAGACCCACAGCUAAACAUUAGACAGAGCCUGGGAACUCUUAUGGGAGAGUUGGGAGAAGGGUUGAGGGCUCGGAAGGGGAUGGGAACUUCAUGGGAAGAUCAGCAGAGUCAACUAAUCUGGACCCUUGGGGGCUCUCAGAAACUGAGCCACCAACCAAAGAGUACAGACUGGACCGAGACCCCCGGCACAUACUUAGUCUCCAUGUGGGUCCUCCAACAACUGGAGCAGGGGCUGUCCCUAAAGCUAUUACCUGCCAUUCUCCAACUGGGUUGGCUUAUCUGGGGUGGCAGUGGGAAAAGGUGUACCUAACACUGCAGAGACUUGGUGUACCAGGGAGGGCCCUCACCCGCUUAGAGGAGAAGGAGAUGGGGA